CAGUCGACGACUCUGGUAUUGAUUGGUGCUUGCAUCAUGAUUUACAUUUGAGUGAGUGGCGAACUGGUGAGUAACACGUGGGAAACCUGCCCAGAAGCGGGGGAUAACACCUGGAAACAGAUGCUAAUACCGCAUAACAACUUGGACCGCAUGGUCCGAGUUUGAAAGAUGGCUUCGGCUAUCACUUUUGGAUGGUCCCGCGGCGUAUUAGCUAGAUGGUGGGGUAACGGCUCACCAUGGCAAUGAUACGUAGCCGACCUGAGAGGGUAAUCGGCCACAUUGGGACUGAGACACGGCCCAAACUCCUACGGGAGGCAGCAGUAGGGAAUCUUCCACAAUGGACGAAAGUCUGAUGGAGCAACGCCGCGUGAGUGAAGAAGGGUUUCGGCUCGUAAAACUCUGUUGUUAAAGAAGAACAUAUCUGAGAGUAACUGUUCAGGUAUUGACGGUAUUUAACCAGAAAGCCACGGCUAACUACGUGCCAGCAGCCGCGGUAAUACGUAGGUGGCAAGCGUUGUCCGGAUUUAUUGGGCGUAAAGCGAGCGCAGGCGGUUUUUUAAGUCUGAUGUGAAAGCCUUCGGCUCAACCGAAGAAGUGCAUCGGAAACUGGGAAACUUGAGUGCAGAAGAGGACAGUGGAACUCCAUGUGUAGCGGUGAAAUGCGUAGAUAUAUGGAAGAACACCAGUGGCGAAGGCGGCUGUCUGGUCUGUAACUGACGCUGAGGCUCGAAAGUAUGGGUAGCAACAGGAUUAGAUACCCUGGUAGUCCAUACCGUAACGAUGAUGCUAGUGUUGAGGGUUUCCGCCCUUCAGUGCUGCAGCUACGCAU
rnacentral:rRNA from 2 species